rnacentral:rRNA from 1 species
GAAGGGGGCUAGCGUUGUUCGGAAUUACUGGGCGUAAAGGGCGCGUAGGCGGUCCCUCAAGUCAGGCGUGAAAGCCCCGGGCUCAACCUGGGAACCGCGCUUGAGACUGGUGGGCUAGAGUUCGGGAGAGGAUGGUGGAAUUCCCAGUGUAGAGGUGAAAUUCGUAGAUAUUGGGAAGAACACCGAUGGCGAAGGCAGCCAUCUGGACCGACACUGACGCUGAGGCGCGAAAGCGUGGGGAGCAAACAGGAUUAGAUACCCUGGUAGUCCACGCCGUAAACGAUGAGUGCUAGACGUCGGGGCCCUCAGGGCUUCGGUGUCGCAGCUAACGCGUUAAGCACUCCGCCUGGGGAGUACGGCCGCAAGGUUA